GCACGGGUGCCAGAUUUAAUGGGUUGGUUUUAAGCAUCAAACAUGGAUUUACUCCCUCGUGCU
rnacentral:tRNA from 1 species